rnacentral:ncRNA from 1 species
CUCCGUUAAGGGCAAGCUCUCCGAAAGGGGAUGCGCGCAAAGCCAUGGGUCUAAGGCUCCGGUGGCCCGAGUAGCUUCCCUGGGCUUACCGGGGCUAAGAUCGCCAGGCUGCCGGG